GACAGCAGCCGCACGGGAAUACAGAGGGUGCGAGCGUUAAUCGGAUUUACUGGGCGUAAAGCGUGCGUAGGCGGCUUUUUAAGUCGGAUGUGAAAUCCCUGAGCUUAACUUAGGAAUUGCAUUCGAUACUGGGAAGCUAGAGUAUGGGAGAGGAUGGUAGAAUUCCAGGUGUAGCGGUGAAAUGCGUAGAGAUCUGGAGGAAUACCGAUGGCGAAGGCAGCCAUCUGGCCUAAUACUGACGCUGAGGUACGAAAGCAUGGGGAGCAAACAGGAUUAGAUACCCCCGUAGUCCCUGUCUCUUAUACA
rnacentral:rRNA from 1 species